AUUGAACGCUGGCGGCAGGCCUAACACAUGCAAGUCGAGCGAGCGGCGGACGGGUGAGUAAUGUCUGGGAAACUGCCUGAUGGCGGGGGAUAACUACUGGAAACGGUAGCUAAUACCGCAUACCAUCAGAUGUGCCCCGAUGGGAUUAGCUAGGAGGUGGGGUAACGGCUCACCUAGGCGACGAUCCCUAGCUGGUCUGAGAGGAUGACCAGCCACACUGGAACGGUGACACGGUCCAGACUCCUACGGGAGGCAGCAGGGGGGAAUAUUGCACAAUGGGGGCAGGCCUGAUGCAGCCAGGCCGCGUGUGUGAAGAAGGCCUGCGGGUUGAAAAGCACUUUCAGCGGGGAGGCGUUACCCGCAGAAGAAGCACCGGCUAACUCCGUGCCAGCAGCCGCGGUAAUUC
rnacentral:rRNA from 1 species